rnacentral:rRNA from 1 species
UGGGGAAUAUUGGUAAUCUGGGAAACCGGGAACCAGCAACGCCGCGUGCGCGAUGAAGGCCUUCGGGUUUUAAAGCGCUUUUUGAGAGGAUGAGGAAGGACAGUACUCUUAGAAUAAGCCUCGGCUAACUACGUGCCAGCAGCCGCGGUAAAACGUAGGAGGCGAGCGUUAUCCGGAUUUACUGGGCGUAAAGCGUGUGUAGGCGGUUUGAUAAGUUGGAUGUGAAAGCUCCUGGCUUAACUGGGAGAGGUCGUUCAAAACUAUCAGACUUGAGAGUGGUAGAGGGAGGUGGAAUUCCGCAUGUAGUGGUGAAAUGCGUAGAUAUGCGGAGGAACACCAGUGGCGAAAGCGGCCUCCUGGCCCAUUUCUGACGCUCAGACACGAAAGCGUGGGGAGCAAACA